UGUAUACUCCCUCCGUCCGGAAAUACUUGUCGUAGAAAUGGAUACAAAUGGAUGUAUGUAGAACUAAAAUACAUCUAGAUACAUCCAUUCCUCGGACAAGUAUUUUCGGACGGAGGGAGUACAAG
rnacentral:pre_miRNA from 1 species